CAAACAUCUGUUGUUUUUUUCGCCUUCAUUUAGCCAUUGUCUUGCAGUUUGUAAUCCAAAGUCUUGUGGAUUUGUAGAUAGAGCGUGUAAGUUCAGCUUAUUUUGAAAUAAUCAUUAGAGGAAUCAAGCCUUUAGAUUUUCACAUGUCCUGUAUACCAAACAUUUGGAAAUGCCAAGGGUCAGCCGUGAAAGCCACAGCAGACGAUUAGAUCUACUACAACAAAAAAGCUUAGAAAUGUGAAGGUCAUGUUUAACUAGCCGCCUCAAAUCUCGAGCAGACGACUCAAGGGAAAGAAGAAGAAAAAUGUUAUGUCGAAGGUUGAAAA
rnacentral:sRNA from 1 species